AGCAAAAUCAACAAAGAAAGACGGCAUGUUUCAAUCCCUUGGCAACCGAGGUUGACAUGAUCUAAAAAAGACGAGCACGUUUAAAGUUGCCUGUUUGAGCAAACUUUACGUACGUGCAUUUGGUUCACUCUGGAUAAAGGCAACAAAUGAAGCGUCGAUCGAAAAGAUAGGGAAGGAUUAUCGAUACGAACAACGAAAGUCACUGUUGAAAACCGGGCGGCAUCGAGAAGACAGGAGCAAGGAAAAUGGACAAUCACUCAAAUCCAAGUUUUGUUCGCCCCCCUCCCCUAAUUGAUAAUGAAGCCAAAAGAGAGGCAGUAAUCGCAUGGUGCACCUUCUAUGUCCAAAUUGCUUUCCUAGCAGUCUUUGGAAAUGGACUAGUCGUGGCUUCCUUCAUUCGGUACUCGCGACUACGUACGAUAACAAACUAUUUCGUGGUCAGUCUUGCUGUGGCAGAUAUCUUGGUGGGCUUCGUCUCCAUCCCCAUAUGGAUCUCAAUGCUGCUUUAUUCUACCGGCGGUAAAACGUUAGGGAACAUUUACUAUGUCCUUGACAUCUUUGCAGGUACCUGCUCCAUACUGCAUCUCGUGACCAUCAGCUCAGAACGCUUUUUUGCUGUGGUUUAUCCAAUUCGUCGCCGCAACACCUCACCCAAAGUAUAUUAUAUCUUUCUGGCGGCUGUAUGGAUUAUUCCAGCUGCAGCAUCUCUAUCUGCAUUGGAGCUGAAGGAAAUCAACCAAAAAGCAAAUAUGAUGUUCCUUUUCAUGGGUUUCUUCGUUAUUCCUUUGUUGGUCAUUCUGUUCACUUACGCAAAGAUUUGGCGCGCAGCCAGGAAUCGUAUACAGCCUACUCGGGACAGUCCACGGUCGAUGAAACGUGACAUGCGCAUUGCAGUUACCAUUGCGUUAGUGAUUGGCUUUUUCGUCAUCGCUUGGUUACCUUUCUUUACAGUUCAGUUACUAAUAGUGUUCUGCGAAUCAUGUAAACCCAGAAUUUACAGCCCCGACCUACUUUUGUUUGUAAAGUUUAUGCACUACAGCAAUUCGGCGAUCAAUCCUAUUGUCUACGCUGUAAAGAUCCCAGAGUUCCGUCGAGCCUUCAAACAGAUAGUUUGCUGCUGUCAUAGCAGAUCCCCAUCCGUCACCGAAAUUGUAUCAGGAACAGACAUGCGUGUCGCUUCACACACCUCUCGUGAGAGGGCUUUGUCUCAUUAAAAAAAUAAACACACAAAGAUUCCCUAUGAUCAAUCCGAGCUUGUGGUCGGCCGGCAUAUAAUUCAGAUAUCUUCAAAGAUUGAGAAAGACAGCAAUGAAUAUUUGAACUAUGUCAGUUCACCUUUAUUUUACGAUAAAACCAAGGCUCUAAGUGAGCCCGCCACAUGGAUGCAUUUCUGCUCGUUGAGAAUUGCUAGAAUUCUAUCGGAUAAUGAUUAAGAUAUGACUGGCUGAUGAGCGGGUGAAAUUGUUGGAACAUCACUCGAUCAGGUGUCUCCACAUAUUCGAUAAAGCGAAACAUCACUUGCUGAGCAUCUGGUCUCUGAGCAUUUGGCUUUCGGACAUCGGGACUACUACAAAUGGUGAACUUUACGCUAUUUCACGCUUACUUCGCGGAUAGGUAUAUUAUGCAUAUGAAAUAUUCUAUUGUGAAAGGCAUAUGAAAAGCAGCAGAAGGAUAUUUACAGAAUGUUAUCACUUUCACAUGGUGUUUUCACAUGCUGUUCACUUUUCGGUUCUGGAAGCCUGCAUGCGAAAAGCUUGCAAUAACGCCACAGGAGGCCCACACAAGCGGCGUGUCUGGUCGUUUGUUCGAAAUAUAAAGAAAUGUAU